UUUAGAUAAUAGAAGGGACACAUUCAAGCAGUCGAAGGCCCUGGAGAAGUCGAGAAGGACAAGAAUUGUACUCCGACCUUUCUCCUGUUCCGCAAGCACAUUGUCCACUACAUCUAGCAGCGCUGUGGCUGUGCUGCGACCGCUGCGGAAGCCGGACUGCAAACUAGGAAGUAUUCCCGCAUCCUCCAGGUACCGCGACAGCUGAUCAUGUACUACCCUUUCUAUUAUCUUUGACGUACACGGCAGGAUACUAACCGGCCGUAGGUCAGAGAGUUGCGAAGGGUUCGGCUUUUUAGGGAAAGGGGAAACUUUAGCAAUCUUCCAAUCGUCGGGAAAUGUCUUUGUCUGUAUGCUUUUGUUAACUAUAGUCAGUAUGUUGUCCAUAGUUUUCGUCAAUGUCAUUUCUACCAUAUCUAUCGAAAUCAAGUCCAUUCCUUUGGCCGCUGUUUUAAUUCGUUUCACAGCUUUAUGAACUUGUUCCGCAGUUACGGUCGUGAGUCCGAAUGUCUUGUCUGAGUGUCUGUUUGUUGUAUAGUACGUUAAAUCUGAUGCAGAUACGUCAUUGUUACCAGGUACGUCAAGGAAAUGUCUGUUAAUUUCGUCCGGGUCAUUAUAAUGUGUCGGUAGGUCAUUAUCAUUUUUAGUCGGCAGUACAGUCUUUUUUAAGUUCUUCCACAAUGUCUUAGAGUCAUGAGCGUUGUUAUUGAUAUUUCGUUCAAAGAACACUUUUUUUUCAAAAUAUAAGGCCACAUUUACUUGAUGUUUUAAGUCUUUGUAGUAUUGUCUCUUUGCGUCAGUUUUAGUCUUUCUGUAUUCGUCAUAGGCGUCGUCACGUAACUGCAUCAUGAAUCUAAUAUUGUCAGUGAUCCAUGGAUGUGGUGUCUCUCUCACUACGAUCGUCUUUUCAGGCGCGUGCAGGUCAAAGAGACUUAUGAUCGAUUGAUUGAGACACCUCACCAUUUCACUGACAUCGUCCAGUCUGUUUAUUUUGUCCCAGUCUAGUAAAUCUAAGUCUUUAUUAAACUGUUCAAUGUCUAUAUCCCUAAUUGGUCUGUAAGUAAUAGUCCUAGGUUUGGUCUUUGUCUUUUUAAUGUCGAGCGUUAUAGUAACAAAAGCAUGUCGUCCUAAGGGUCGUUUGUAUAUGACAUUAACAUCUCGAACCUUAGCGUCUGUACAUAUUAGGUCAAUUGUCGUCUGGCUGGUUUCUGUAAAAUGCGUGGGCUCCUGUACGUGUUGUGUCAAGUUAAGUGUAUUUAGAAAGUUGUCUAAUGACUUAAAAGAUGCACAGUUAUAAUUUGAAAAGUCUAUGUUAAAGUCCCCUAAUAAAACGAUUCUGUCAUAGUCUUUAAAUGAAGUUAUGGAGUCUGUCAUUGCGUCUAAAAAUAAGUCUACGUUUACCCAAUCUGGUCUGUAAGCUGUGCCAAUAAUGAUCUUUUUCCCGUUUACAUUUAAUCUCAUCCACAUUUGCUCGACGGUAUUAGCGGGGGGGUGUGGUAGGGUGCGGGCGGAGAGGCCCUGCCGCACAAAGAAUCCCACGCCUCCGCCCCGCGAGCGCAGUCGCCUCGGCCGCGCCACGUGACGCAGUCGAUAGCCGGCUACUCGCGGAGCGCGGCCCUCCUCGCCGUCACGCAACCACGUCUCAUUUAUCGCCACCACGUCUGCUAAAGAGUUGUGUAUAGUCACAGUCAGUUCGUCGUGUCCUGUACCAAGAGAACCUGCAUUAAACAAACCAACCUUAAAGUAUUUUGUGUUAGUCAUAGUUAUGUAUGAUUAGAAGUGCCAAAACAAUUUGGAUGUGAAGGAAAAAAGGCAACACAUUGAGUACACAACAGGAUUUGCAGCCAGCCUGCUGAACCCGGGGUCAUUCCGCCCGCCGCACCGACGCUCCACCACCUGUUCAUGCCUCUUACUAGAAAAAUGAUCGCACACAUAAGAUUAUCUACAAUGAGGCAACAGAGCAUGGCCAGGCAGAACAGACACAUACAGAAGAGAAUAUGAAAAAAUACACAUUUACAAAGUGGAGCGAACUGGUUCCUCUCCAAAAAUAUUAGUUAGGUCAUUAACACAUCUAAUUCUAAAUGACGGCUUGCCUUCAGCUUGGCGUACAAACACACGCCCAUCCUUUGUCCAAAUGAAACGCCAUGAAAACCGCUUACCCAGAUCUCGAGCUUUGCCAAACAGUUGCCUAUUAAGCUUAGUGAGCCUCUCGUUUAUAUAAAACCUCUUCGGUUCACCUUCGAGGCCCAUGUCGGCUGUGGUGAGGCCGCGGCGCACGCGCAUGGCGCGCAGCAGCUCGUCCCGGGUGGCGCGGCGCGCGAGGCGCACGGCGAGGGGCCGCGCGCGCGCCGCCGCCGCCGCCGCGCCCUCCGCCGCUCCCGCUGCCGGCCGCAGCGCGCCCACGCGCACGGCGCUCACGAUGUCGCGCUCGUCGAGGGUCAUGCCCAGCUUCACCGCUAUGACCUUCACUAGAUGUAAGGGGUUUUCUGCUUUGGUCUCCGGUAUAUGUGUUAUUUGUAUAUCAUUUGCUAACAAAUCCUGAUCACGAUCCUGCAGUUCUAUUUUUAAAUCCUCAAUCGCUUGCUCGAGGCUUUCUAUAGCAGGAGAUUUACUGCUUGCGUAGUUCGUCUCCAUGGCUUCCACUCGCUUCUCCAUAUCUUCGAGCCUGCUGUUGCACGCAAAGAUCGCAGCCUUGAAACUGGAAAUUUCCUCCCUCAGUUCCUUAAACUCGCCACACACUCCCUUUAUCUCUUUGGUGCAAUGAGUCUUGAGAGAUCCUAACUCUUCUCUGAAAGCUCUGAUCUCCAGUGCGAGGUCAACAUGGAACUCCAGGGUGGCAUUAUUUGCAGUAUUAUUCAUGACAGCUUCAUCCCCCACAUCGCAUUCCUGAGUUGUUUUUAUUUCGCCGGAGGUGGAUAGCAUUUCCACAGUUUGCUUCCUUGCAUCAUAUGGCGCCGCAGCUCCUUUGACUGGCGUGUCAUCGUAGUUGCUUUGCCUCCGUUUACGCUUACAGUUGAGGCAGGCCCAGUCAGCAGCGACCACGACGCCCUCUAGCAAUCCUGCGCAUUCCCUGUGAAAUGAUCCGGCGCAAAUCCCACAAACAACGCCAUCUGUCGAUGAGUGGAACUUUCCGCAACUGGUGCACUUGUUUGCCAUUUUAUUCGUACAAUGUAGUAUACCUUGAAGUUCUUAAGUACGUCACUAGAUGGUGCUCUUGUUUGACAAGUGACAGCGACAGCUGUCUAACAACAGCUGAUUUUUAAACAGCUGACCGCAAAAACGUAAACAAAAACACGGGGUAGUACUACCGCACAAUACUGGUGAACAAUCGAAAUUGCACUAAAUUUGCACUUAAAACACAACUUUGUCUCAAUCUGUAUAGUUUAUAACUCGCGCAAUAUGAUAUACUAUAAGUUUCUGCUAAGUUUAUUAAAGAAUUUUCACUCUUUACACAGUUUUUUGUUUUUAAUUUGAACACAGGUUCCACAAGCAACUGUCUCGAAUCGCGUCCGUGA